rnacentral:tRNA from 1 species
GGCUUGCUAGCUUAUUCUAUAAAGUUUUUACUUUGAAAGUAAAAGAUAGAGCUUAAUACUGGCUCUGUGAGCCU